CGGAGUUAGUCUGCAGAA
rnacentral:misc_RNA from 1 species